AAAUAACUUGUAUGUUAAGAAAGAUACUGCCAAAGCACGGAAUUGGAAAAAUAUCCUGUUUUUGCUUUACAAGGAUACGGCAACAGUAAAGCUCUUCUGGGCGUUAAGUAAGCAGAAUUAACGGGCAAAAUAAAUGCAGAGCAGUGACUUCCUGUUGCAGAGUCCCAGUGGGUGAGACAAGGAGGAGCCGGAUUAAGAAAAGCCACAAACUUCAGAAACCAAACUUGUUGGUUCCAGCCAAACAUCCCUAUGAAUUUUCAAGACGCCUUUGUCACUGCUAAUUGCCUUAGGUAGAUCUCGAAGAAGCCACUUGUCCAAGCUGUGAAGUGGACCUGGGGAAGCCAAUUCCCUGCUAUAUCCCGGUGAUGUUGGGGACAUAAGGAAAAUCAUGUGUGACAUGCGGAAGUGGUUUGAACUCUGAGGAGGAAAUGAACUAUGUAGAGACAAUGCUUCAUUUCUGGAGGGGUCGGGAGGCAUGGUUAAAAACAUCUCUCAGCUGCUUGUUUCUAUGUAGUGAGGACUCCUCUCCACGUAGCUUUUUACAAAUUGCUAAGCAUUUUCAACUGAAUUUCCAGGGAGGUGGCUGUCAGUCUUGUUUUGUGGAUAAAGACUUGCUAGAGAUUACCCAGCUAGCUGGCAGUGGGAUCGGUUCUUCAGCCCUUUCAUGCUGGCCCCAAGUUCCAUGUUGCUGUCAACCUGACCACGUCUCCCCUGCUUUGAGAAGUCCCUGGGGUUUAGACGUGCUAAGAGGCAAACUGGCUCUGCAGAGGGGAAAAAGGAUUUAGCCGUAUACGUUGCAAUUAGACAUGGGUGAGAUUUAGUUCAAUUGGGAGGACAGUGUCAUAACUCUUUCUUGUAGCUGACCUGGAAAAUUCUGAGAAUCAAUUUGGUUUAUAGUAAUGAGUUAUUUGCUUUUGGCUUCAGACCGAUGCGCCAGUUAAUAAUAUCAUUUGUUAUUAUAUUCGGGAUCCUGGAUUUGAGAACAGUGAGCUGUGUAACAUGAUGAGCUCGGCGAUCCAAUUUAUUUCUGGGUGUUGGUUUUGUUCUGUUGAGUCUGCUGUGGGGAGAGCCGUGUUUGCUUUGGAUGGCUUUUGCAGCAGCUGUGCGGGGCUGAGCGAGUGGGAGGCGGUGCUCCGCGCUGGACCGGCUUCACGAACCAGGGACCUUGUGGUCCGCCUUUGCUGCGUGGUGCUCAGCGGUCCUCAUGAGCUGCUCUUGGAGAUGCUGUUUUGGAGCACAGCGUUUUUGUUUUCCUUCAUCCCUCCUCUCUCUUUUGAUCCUCCAGUGUUUCGGGAGACCCUUAUAGAACAGCUGUUUGCCCAAAGACCACGUGUGGUUCUCUCUGCUGGGCUGCUUUCUUUCCCAGACUAGACACCUGCUUCGCCACUUUCAUUAGUCAUGCCCUCUAAAGCCAUGCAGCUCAAAACGUGUCCCCAGAACUGUCUCUGUCUGUGACCUGUUCAUGACCCACCUGGGGCAAGCUAAGGACAAACUGUCAGUUUAGAAGCAGUUACAGCCAUUUAUCAGGGCUUCAUACUAAUUAAUUUUAGUUAGUGAAAUGUCAUUUAUUAUCUGUUCAGUCUAACCAUAAAAUAAGGCAUAUAUUCUUUAUGCCUUUUAUAAAAUUCAAGUUUUCUAUUUACUUGUGUUGCAUUGUAUAAAAGUAUCAGUUCACAAUGGACUAAAACUGAAAUCAAACAAAUUAACAACAACAACAACAACCCAAAACACACCUGCUCUUCCCUGCAAAUAGUUUGACCACGGCUCUGUAGACACAGCUGCAAAGCAAAUCUGUUUCAAGCUCUUUCCUUCUCUUCCCUUUUAGCCUCCUUUGAAAAAAUUUCCCAACACCAAGAUUUUCAAGACUCCCUGGCUGUCCCAUCCUCCUCAGCCCCAGGCAUGUGAGAUCAGGAUUUGGCAGAAAUCCCCUGGGUCCUUCUUUUAUGGCCCGCCACCCUAUGAGCCUUGACUUCUGUCCGGUAAUGGUUUAGUUCAUUUGAUAAAUGAAUCUGCUAACAAUUAUGGUGAAACUAUGGCAGUUUUGACAAUUGGCUGGGAAUGGCUAUUGGGGUGCUGUAUGAUAACACUGUGUCCAGAAAAUGUAGACCCAGCUUCACAUUACAGCCAUGCCUCCCAUGAGAUUUCUUAAAUUGGAUGAGCUUGAGAACAAUCACAAGAAAGGUACCCCUUGACUGGGACCCAGGCUCGGGUUUUGGCUCCAGCCUCAAGGGCAGAGGCUUCCCUGCAGUCUUCAUAGCCCACGGUCUCUCUUUGGCAGAGCAGCUGGGUGAGCUGGGCUGCAGCCUGGGCAGCGCUGCUUUUUCCUGAGCCCCUUAAAUACUUCCGAGAACUGCUCCAGGACCUCUUCUUGGUGGAACGGUGGUGGGGAUGAGAGUGGGUUGGAAGGAACUUUGUUCCAUCUUCCUCCAUCUUAACUUUUUAUCAUCAAAAUGUAUUUUGCAUGUGAAAUCACCUUUCUUUCUUAAAGAUGAAUUUGUGUGCUACCCACCGCUGCUGAGUUAAGUAACACAAUAGUCCCUUCACCUCCUGCUCCCUUAACUCCAAGUCAGCGGAUCCGACAGCAGCAGUUGACGAGGAGAGCAGUGGGUAAGUACGGAAUGUCGGCAGAAGGAGCCACCACAGGAAAACACCUCGAGAGCUGGCCAAGGGGGCCCCUAGUACUCCCCGAGCUGGCUGCCUGGUCAGACGCUGUCCUUCUCUCAGCGGGUCCUCCGGGCCGCAAGCUGACAUGUCUUCGUUUUCUUUUCUUCUUCAGGGUGGCUUUCUAUGUUCACUUUCCCUGAGCUGAAAUGUUGUGGGAGUGAUGAAGAGAGUCCCACAUGGGGUGGUCCCCACGAUGUCCUGGACCUGAGGCAGAUCCAGAAAAUCUUGCACUCACGCUGUCUGCAGCCUUUGUCCUAAAAGAUUUACACAUGCGAAAAUCCUUUCACCAGGGACGACUGCCAAAGGAAGGUUUGCAGCCCUGACCUCUCUUCCCAGCUACAGGCCUGUGGGGACACUGGCCUUGCACAGAGAAAUUGAGGACUUUCGAGCCUAGUGGAGUUUUAGGGAAAAAACUGGGGUCUAUGUAUAGGUCAAGUCAAGGAAAAAAGCAGCUGAUAAAGACCAGAAGAAAGAUAGAAGCAGGAAGGGAAGGAAAGGAAAUAAAUACUGGAGACAAAGAAGGAAGCAAUUGAUUGCGGAUAAGAGAACGCAUCUGUUUAUAUUUAAAUAUCUCAGAUGUGUCCCAAGCCAAAUACAUCAGCUUUGUACAAUAGAAACAGAUCUUUAAAAAGGAAUUGUCUUAUUAUAUUGAAAGCAAGUCCAUUGUUUGAACUAAUCAGGUUUCAUAAAAUAAAUAAGGUCACAGCAGGCAAAAUAGUAGGUACUUCAAAGAGAAUGAUCAGAUUUGUUUAUGAGGCGAUGGCCUAGCUGCAACUCAAAAAAUCAAGUGUUUCAUUUAGAUGAGAUCAAGUAGAAAUUAUGAUGUAGUUCUAAGUAUGAUAGAAAUACUCCUACCAAAGGCUGAUGAUUGACCAAACACCGUCCGUACACAUGCAUGCACACUGUAGCACAUCUCCACCCCCUCCCCCGCACUAUCCCGGAAUCCUGACCUUACUCUAUCACAAAUUCCAGGUGGAUCAAAGAUUGUCUAUGAAAAAAUGAAAUACUUAUAAAUCUAAGUGAAAUGGUCACUUUUUAAAAAGACUUAUUUCUUUAUUUCAGAGAGAGAACCCGAGCAUGCAUGGUGGGAGCAGAGGGAGAGAAUCUCAAGCAGACUCCCAGCCGAGCUGGAAGUGGUUGCUUAAUCUCACAAACCCUGAGAUCAUGACCUGAUUCGAAAUCAAGAGUUGGUGCUUAACCGACAGAGCCACCCAGAACAAGAUCACAUGCCUUCCUAAAAGCAGUCACUAGCAAGCGGAAUGAGGUUUCCCAUUCCCUACUGGACUGGCUUGGACAACCUGUGGAGCUAGGAUUUGGAUCAUCUUUGAGGAGGAAUAGACCUGAACAAGAUAGAGAUUCUGUUAGCAAGGUGGGAAUGGGAAGAAGUAUAUUCAUAUCUUGCUAUCUUGCUCUGCUCCCCACAGAGUACAAUGAACAUUCUAUGGACUUGCUAAGUGAGCAAAAGAACAGUAGGUGGUGGUGCCGAAUUAUGUGUUUAGUCAAGAUUUUGUAACUUGUAACCUGUCUACCACAUUUCCUGACUUUUUAGGAGGAAGACUCCAAAUUUACCUGAGAAGGAAUAUUCAUAGUUACUAACUCUAUAUUUGAAAUAUUAAAGCCUUUGUCCUCCCUAUACUCUUUAUACCAGUAAUAUCAGGAACCAGGACUAUAAUAGAGCCAUUUUGAGUAAAUGUCUCCAAGGGAAUUCACAGUGAUAACAUCAAAAUAACAUAAAAUAGAUUCUAAAUUAAGAUUUUCAUUGUUUUCGUCAACAAAAUUAUAACUUUGGGAAGCUUCUUUUUCUUUUCCCCCAUAUUCAAGAUAGCAACCAUAUCACAUUGUCAGUGAUUUGAUGCCAGUAGUUGAAUCAGUCUGUAUUUUAAUUUAGUAUUUCCUCCAGACAUUCUUUGAACAUGUGUCAACAGGAAAGAACAUGUUUCAAAAGCCACUUCUACUCAUUUCUCCCUUAAUAAACAAAGUUUGAAUGUG